rnacentral:rRNA from 1 species
CUGGCGGCGUGCCUAAUACAUGCAAGUCGAACGGUCUUUCUAUGGAAGCUUGCUUCCACUGAGAAGAUAGUGGCGAACGGGUGAGUAACACGUGGGUAACCUGCCCAUAAGAGGGGGAUAACAUCCGGAAACGGGUGCUAAUACCGCAUAGUUUUCUUGAUCGCAUGAUUGGGAAAGGAAAGACGGCCUUUGUGCUGUCGCUUAUGGAUGGACCCGCGGCGUAUUAGUUAGUUGGUGAGGUAACGGCUCACCAAGACGAUGAUACGUAGCCGACCUGAGAGGGUGAUCGGCCACAUUGGGACUGAGACACGGCCCAAACUCCUACGGGAGGCAGCAGUAGGGAAUCUUCCGCAAUGGACGAAAGUCUGACGGAGCAACGCCGCGUGAGUGAAGAAGGUUUUCGGAAUCGUAAAACUCUGUUGUCAGAGAAGAACAAGUUGGAGAGUAACUGCUCCAGCCUUGACGGUAUCUGACCAGAAAGCCACGGCUAACUACGUGCCAGCAGCUGC